AAAUGUAAGUUAAGUGGUAAAGGAUGUGGGAUUGCACAGACAACCAGGAUGUUGGCUUAGAAGCAGCCACUCAUUCAAAGAGUGCGUAAUAGCUCACUGGUCGAGUGAUCCUGCGCCGAAGAUUUCCGGGGCUAAAACUUACUACCGAAGCUACGGCAUCAUUAUGAUGGGUAGGGGAGCUUCCCAUACGGGUUGAAGCAUGACCGUAAGGACAUGUGGACAGUAUGGGAGUGAGAAUGUUGGCAUGAGUAGCGAGAUGUGGGUGAGAAUCCCACAGGCCGUAAACCCAAGGUUUCCAGGGGAAGGUUCGUCCGCCCUGGGUUAGUCGGGACCUAAGCUGAGGCCGAAAGGCGUAGGUGAUGGACAACAGGUUGAUAUUCCUGUACUACCGAUAACCGUUUGAGAGAAGGGAUGACACAGUAGGAUAAGCUAAGCACACUGUUGGUUAUGUGUGCCCAAGCAUUGAGGCAGUCAAAGUAGGCAAAUCCGCUUUGAUAAUGCUGGGAUGUGAUGGGGAGCGAAAUUUAGUAGCGAAGUAGCUGAUUUCACACUGUCAAGAAAAGUCUCUAUCGAGGUUAAAGGUACCCGUACCGCAAACCGACACAGGUGGGUGAGGAGAGUAUCCUAAGGUCAGCGAGAGAACUGUUGUUAAGGAACUCGGCAAAAUGACCCCGUAACUUAGGGAUAAGGGGUGCCACCAUCAGGUGGCCGCAGAGAAUAGGCCCAAGCGACUGUUUACCAAAAACAUAGGUUUCUGCUAAGUCGCAAGACGAUGUAUAGGAGCUGACGCCUGCCCGGUGCUGGAAGGUUAAGGGGAUCUGUUAGAGCAAUCGAAGCAGUGAACUUAAGCCCCAGUAAACGGCGGCCGUAACUAUAACGGUCCUAAGGUAGCGAAAUUCCUUGUCGGGUAAGUUCCGACCCGCACGAAAGGCGUAACGAUUUGGGCACUGUCUCAACAACAGACUCGGUGAAAUUGUAAUUCCGGUGAAGAUGCCGGAUACCUGCGACAGGACGGAAAGACCCCAUGGAGCUUUACUGUAGCUUGACAUUGGGUCUUGGUACUACAUGUACAGGAUAGGUGGGAGGCUUUGAAACCAGGACGCCAGUUUUGGCGGAGCCAUCCUUGGGAUACCACCCUUGUAGUACUGGGACUCUAACCAUAGGCCAUGAAUCUGGUCUUGGGACACUGUCAGGUGGGCAGUUUGACUGGGGCGGUCGCCUCCCAAAAGGUAACGGAGGCGCUCAAAGGUUCUCUCAGUACGGUCGGAAAUCGUACGUAGAGUGUAAAGGCAAAAGAGAGCUUGAUUGCAAGACAUACAGGUCGAGCAAGGAUGAAAAUCGGACUUAGUGAUCCGGUGGUUCUGCGUGGAAGGGCCAUCGCUCAACGGAUAAAAGCUACCCUGGGGAUAACAGGCUUAUCUCCCCCAAGAGUCCACAUCGACGGGGAGGUUUGGCACCUCGAUGUCGGCUCAUCACAUCCUGGGGCUGUAGUAGGUCCCAAGGGUUGGGCUGUUCGCCCAUUAAAGUGGUACGCGAGCUGGGUUCAGAACGUCGUGAGACAGUUCGGUCCCUAUCCGUCGCAGGCGUAGGAAAUUUGAGAAGACCUGUCCUUAGUACGAGAGGACCGGGAUGGACGUACCUCUGGUGUACCAGUUGU
rnacentral:rRNA from 1 species